UUUUUCAAGAAAAAUAUUUUUUGGUGUUUGAUUGCAAGAAACGACUUAUUUUUUUAUUUUUCUCAUACUAAAUACAUUACAACAACAUAACUAGUAUUAUCUCACAACGUGAGGUUUGGGGAGGGUAGUGUAUACGCAAACCUUACCCUUACCCUUGUGAGGAUAAAGAGGUUGUUUUCGAUAGACCCUCAGCUUAGGAAAGCAUAAGCAACACAUUAAUUAAAAUAUUGACAAGAAAGGACAGCACCAAAAAAACAAAUAAAAAAUACAAGAUAGUAAGGUGAUCAACAAUGAAAGAAAAUAACGGUUAGUCAUAAAAACAUACUACCACCAUAAAGCGAGAUUGCGUAUCAAUCCAACUGUUAUGAAUACUCUAGACUACUUACUCUACUACCCUAAUCCUCGACUUUCAUAUCUUUCUAUUAAGGGUGAUGUCCUAUGUCACCAAAGAAACAACUAUAUCAAUCGAACUUUGUGAGCUGAUGAGAAAUGCUUGGCUGCAGAUAUCAUAGUUGCCUCAGGUCCAGAUAUAGAAUUUUUCACAACUUUGGUUUCAUUUUUAAUGAAGAAGCACGAAAGAAAUGGCCUAAGAGAAGAAGAGAAAUCACUGUUUUUCUUCUUACCGUAACUCAUUUUCUUUGCUUUCCAGAAUUUAAUAUUUCAGCAGAUUUUGAGAAGAAAUAAGAAAAUGUUGAGAUUGAAGAAUAGAAGUCAAUAUAGAUCACAAAGACAAAAGGGGUUGGCUUUUCUUGAGUGUGUUUUACAUUGAUGAAAUUAAGCCCUAUAUAUACAUAUAUAUGCUUAUGUAGGGAAACAACAUUGCCUCUUCGCCUGGGCAAAGGAAAUUAGUAAAGUUCUUGAGAUAUUUAAAAGUUGUAUUUGAAUAUAAAUACAAUU
rnacentral:lncRNA from 1 species